GGAAUAUUGCGCAAUGGACGAAAGUCUGACGCAGCAACGCCGCGUGAGGGAUGAAGGCCUUCGGGUUGUAAACCUCUUUCAAUUGGGACGAAGCGAAAGUGACGGUACCAAUACAAGAAGCACCGGCUAACUAUGUGCCAGCAGCCGCGGUAAUACAUAGGGUGCAAGCGUUGUCCGGAUUUAUUGGGCGUAAAGAGCUCGUAGGCGGUUAAUCACGUCGGAUGUGAAAACUUGGGGCUUAACCCCAAGCCUGCAUCCGAUACGGAUUAACUAGAAAGCAGUAGGGGAGAUUGGAAUUCCUGGUGUAGCGGUGGAAUGCGCAGAUAUCAGGAGGAACACCAGUGGCGAAGGCGGAUCUCUGGGCUGUAUUUGACGCUGAGGAGCGAAAGCGUGGGGAGCAAACAGGAUUAGAUACCCUGGUAGUCCACGCUGUAAACGGUGGGCGCUAGUUGUGGGGGACUUCCACGUUCUCUGCGACGUCGCUAACGCAUUAAGCGCCCCGCCUGGGGAGUACGGCCGCAAGGCUAAAACUCAAAGGAAUUGACGG
rnacentral:rRNA from 1 species